CUCCCCCACCUGACCCCGGACCCAUCCACCAUCCGCUCGUCCCCAACCUACCUCCCAUCUCAGAAAAAAUCUACCAUUCCCCACCCACCUUCUCCGUGGACGCGGCCCUUUCCAUCUCCCGCACAUCCACCAUCUUCUCCGGCGCGCCCCCUCCUUCCACUUCGUCCCCGCGAGCCUGGUGGUGGACGUGAUGCUGCAGGAUGCCGAGUUCCAGACCCGUGUGCGGGAGCAGAGAUGAAGCCGCGGACACGCAACGUUACGCGCCCAUGAAGCCUGGAAGUUCCAUCCAUUGCGGGGUGGUCUCAGGAAGCUACUAUGCUGGAUGGGGUUCAAAGUGCCAUAAGGGGAUGAUCCAACGAAGCCUGCAAGUGCCGUCCAUUGUGGGGUGGUCUCAGGCAGCCUGCCGUCCAUUGCGAUUUUUUUGUAUUUUUUCUCUAUCCCAAAAUCGUGGCCACCAAUUUAGCUGCAGAUUCCAUGGUCUAUUGGGUGCUCGAUUUGAUGGUCGAUUCAGCACUCGAUUCGGUGGUUGAUUCGGUCACUGGGCAACUAGUAGUGAUAGAGGAAGCAUCUCCAUCUGUACCCAACCUCAGGAUGCAGGUCACGACUAGCUCGUCUCAUCUGACUUGUGCAGAUCAUGUGUUUUCUUCUGCAAUUAGAGCAAAUUGUAAAGUAUUUGUAAAGGAUCCGAUGGCCACAACAACAUGCGUAGCUAGCCACCAUGGUAGCAAAUCCGCGUCGAUAUAUAUAUAUAUAUAUA